rnacentral:rRNA from 1 species
UACACUCCUACGGGAGGCAGCAGUGGGGAAUUUUGGACAAUGGGCGAAAGCCUGAUCCAGCAAUGCCGCGUGAGUGAAGAAGGCCUUCGGGUUGUAAAGCUCUUUUGUCAGGGAAGAAACGGUGAAAGCUAAUAUCUUUUGCUAAUGACGGUACCUGAAGAAUAAGCACCGGCUAACUACGUGCCAGCAGCCGCGGUAAUACGUAGGGUGCAAGCGUUAAUCGGAAUUACUGGGCGUAAAGCGUGCGCAGGCGGUUUUGUAAGUCUGAUGUGAAAUCCCCGGGCUCAACCUGGGAAUUGCAUUGGAGACUGCAAGGCUAGAAUCUGGCAGAGGGGGGUAGAAUUCCACGUGUAGCAGUGAAAUGCGUAGAUAUGUGGAGGAACACCGAUGGCGAAGGCAGCCCCCUGGGUCAAGAUUGACGCUCAUGCACGAAAGCGUGGGGAGCAAACAGGAUUAGAAACCCGAGUAGUCCCAUG